UCCAAAUUUAGGGGAUUUUGGGGCUUCAGAAUCCCCAUUUUUGGGGUCAAACUCUUCAGUUUUGGGGUCCAAAUUUUGGGGAUUUUGGGGCUUCAGAAACUCAAUUUUUGGGGGUCAAAAUUAUGGGAUUUUGGGUCUAAAGAAUCCCCAUUUCUGGGAUCCAAGUUUAUGGGAUUUCGGGGCUUCAGAAUCCCUAUUUUUGGGUCCAAAUUUAGGGGAUUUUGGGGCUUCAGAAUCCCCAAUUUUGGGGUCAAACUCUUCAGUUUUGGGGUCCAAAUUUAGGGGAUUUUGGGUCUACAGAACCUCAAUUUUGGGGGUCAAAAUUUGUAGGAUUUUGGGUCUUCAGAAUCCCCAUUUUUGGGGUCCAAAUUUAGGGGAUUUUGGGGCUUCAGAAUCCCCAUUUUUGGGGUCAAACUCUUCAGUUUUGGGGUCCAAAUUUAGGGGAUUUUGGGUCUUCAGAAUCCCCAUUUUGGGGGUCCAAAUUUAGGGGAUUUCGGGUCUUCAGAAUCCCCAUUUUUGGGGUCAAACUCUUCAGUUUUGGGGUCCAAAUUUAGGGGAUUUCAAGUCCUCAGAAUCCCCAUUUUUGGUUCCCCACAACCUCCCUUUUUGGGGCCAACCCCUCCGCUUCCACCGUCCCCAAAACCCCCGAUUUUCCCUUUUU
rnacentral:lncRNA from 1 species